rnacentral:rRNA from 1 species
UACGCACGCUGGCGGCGUGCCUAAUACAUGCAAGUAGAACGCACAGUUUAUACCGUAGCUUGCUACACCAUAGACUGUGAGUUGCGAACGGGUGAGUAACGCGUAGGUAACCUGCCUGGUAGCGGGGGAUAACUAUUGGAAACGAUAGCUAAUACCGCAUAAUAUUGAUUAUUGCAUGAUAAUUGAUUGAAAGAUGCUAUUGCAUCACUACCAGAUGGACCUGCGUUGUAUUAGCUAGUAGGUGAGGUAACGGCUCACCUAGGCGACGAUACGUAGCCGACCUGAGAGGGUGAUAGGCCACACUGGGACUGAGACACGGCCCAGACUCCUACGGGAGGCAGCAGUAGGGAAUCUUCGGCAAUGGACGAAAGUCUGACCGAGCAACGCCGCGUGAGUGAAGAAGGUUGUCGGAUCGUAAAGCUCUGUUGUAAGAGAAGAACGGGUGUGAGAGUGGAAAGUUCACAAUGUGACGGUAUCUUACCAGAAAGGGACGGCUAACUACGUG